rnacentral:rRNA from 1 species
GUCCGUCCCGGUUACCGGGUUAACCGUUACGGUCGGUUAUUUAGGUUUUCGGUUUUCCCUUUCCUUUCGUAAGAAACCGAACCUAGGUGUNNCAUUUAUUUGGUGUCGUGGGGGAAUCAGGACUGUUACUUUGAAAAAAUUAGAGUGUUUAAAGCAGGCUCACGCUUGAAUACAUUAGCAUGGAAUAAUGAAAUAGGACGUUUGAUUCUAUUUUGUUGGUUUCUAGGAUCGACGUAAUGAUUAAUAGGGAUAGUUGGGGGCAUUAGUAUUCAAUUGUCAGAGGUGAAAUUCUUGGAUUUAUUGAAGACUAACUACUGCGAAAGCAUUUGCCAAGGAUGUUUUCAUUAAUCAAGAACGAAAGUUAGGGGAUCGAAGACGAUCAGAUACCGUCGUAGUCUUAACCAUAAACUAUGCCGACUAGGGAUCGGAUGAUGUUAAUUUUUAAUGACUC